UACGGGGGGGGUAAGCGUUGUUCGGAAUUACUGGGCGUAAAGGGCUCGUAGGCGGCCAACUAAGUCAGACGUGAAAUCCCUCAGCUUAACUGGGGAACUGCGUCUGAUACUGGAUGGCUUGGAUUCGGGAGAGGAAUGUGGAAUUCCACGUGUAGCGGUGAAAUGCGUAGAGAUGUGGAGGAACAUCAGUGGCGAAGGCGACUCUUUGGCCUGUAACUGACGCUGAGGCGCGAAAGCGUGGGGAGCAAACAGG
rnacentral:rRNA from 1 species